GACGAACGCUGGCGGCGGGCUUAACACAUGCCAGUCGAACGGAAAGGCCCUGCUUUUUUGGGGUUCUCGAGUGGCGAACGGGUGAGUAACACGUGGGUAACCUGCCCUUGACUUUGGGAUAACUUCAGGAAACUGGGGCUAAUACCGUAUAGGAGCUCCUGCUGCAUUGUGGGGGUUGGAAAUUUUCGGCGGGUGGGGAUGGACUCGCGGCUUAUCAGCUUGUUGGUGGGGUAGGUGCUUACCAAGUCUUUGACGGGUAGCCGGCCUGGGAGGGUGACCGGCGACAUUGGGACUGCGAGACGGACCAGUCUCGUACGGGAGGCAGCAGUGGGGAAUCUUGUACAAUGGGAGCACGUCUGAUGAAGCAGCGCUGCGUGUGGGAUGACGGCCUUCGGGUUGUAAAACGCUUUAGCCUGUGACGAAGCGUGAGUGACGGUAACGGGUAAAGAAGCACCGGCUAACUACGUG
rnacentral:rRNA from 1 species